ACGUCUUCAAGCAACUUAAAGAAGUCCAGACGCUUUUCUUUCCAAGCUUCUGAGACGCCCCGAGUGCCAGCACACUACUGCAGAUGGAAAGAAAGAAAAGAUGGUACUCAACCAACGCACAACACCUGUGUCUCACUCGGAGCCUCUCAGCAAUUCCCACUAUCUGUUCCUCUUGCUGCUGGGCUCUAAUCAAGCCCCCUACCACAAACAGUUUUCAGCUGUGCCAGCAUAAUUACAAGAAUUAUUCUUAAUGAUCAAUUAGCCUCUUUACGUGAUAAACCUGCACUGGGUAAUGCAAUUUACCAAUGGAAUGAUUGCUGUGCUUCUGUACACCUACUCAGAUAUUCCAUUUAAAAAUGUAAAUGUUUUAUGAUAAAUAAAGAUUUUGUUAGUAAUUAAUUAUCAUUCAUAACAUUUUUAUCGGUUAAAUGCUAAAUUAAAAAUGUGCCUUAGAAAAGGAAAUUUCUGUGAGAAACUUUUAAGCUGAGUUGUAAACUUUCCAGUACUGUGAAUAAAGUUUUAAUUACUGUAAUGACAAUAAAAGUUUCUCAUUUUUAAUAAAUAAAAGCAUUUUCUCCUCGUGCUCCUCAGCCUUCACUUUCUCUGCUCUUCUAUGCCGUCUAUGCUGUUCUCAUAGUGACAGAGAAGAAUUUAUUGUCAA